GACGAACGCUGGCGGCGUGCUUAACACAUGCAAGUCGAACGAUGAAGCCGGAGCUUGCUCUGGUGAAUUAGUGGCGAACGGGUGAGUAACACGUGAGUAACCUGCCCUUGACUCUGGGAUAACUGCUAGAAAUGGUAGCUAAUACCGGAUACGACCCUCGGAGGCAUCUCCAGGGGGUGGAAAGAAUUUCGGUCAAGGAUGGACUCGCGGCCUAUCAGCUAGUUGGUGAGGUAACGGCGCACCAAGGCGACGACGGGUAGCCGGCCUGAGAGGGUGACCGGCCAAGCUGGGACUGAGACACGGCCCAGCGUCCGACGGGAGGCAGCAGUGGGGAAUAUUGCACAAUGGGCGCAAGCCUGAUGCAGCAGCGCCGCGUGAGGGAUGACGGCCUUCGGGUUGUAAACCUCUUUUAGUAGGGAAGAAGCGAAAGUGACGGUACCUGCAGAAAAAGCACCGGCUAACUACGUGCCAGCAGCCGCCGUAA
rnacentral:rRNA from 1 species